ACGAACGCUGGCGGCGUGCCUAAUACAUGCAAGUUGAGCGCUGAAGGUUGGUACUUGUACCACCUGGAUGAGCAGCGAACGGGUGAGUAACGCGUGGGGAAUCUGCCUUUGAGCGGGGGACAACAUUUGGAAACGAAUGCUAAUACCGCAUAAAAACUUUAAACACAAGUUUUAAGUUUGAAAGAUGCAAUUGCAUCACUCAAAGAUGAUCCCGCGUUGUAUUAGCUAGUUGGUGAGGUAAAGGCUCACCAAGGCGAUGAUACAUAGCCGACCUGAGAGGGUGGUCGGCCACAUUGGGACUGAGACACGGCCCAAACUCCUACGGGAGGCAGCAGUAGGGAAUCUUCGGCAAUGGACGAAAGUCUGACCGAGCAACGCCGCGUGAGUGAAGAAGGUUUUCGGAUCGUAAAACUCUGUUGGUAGAGAAGAACGUUGGUGAGAGUGGAAAGCUCAUCAAGUGACGGUAACUACCCAGAAAGGGACGGCUAACUACGUG
rnacentral:rRNA from 1 species